rnacentral:lncRNA from 1 species
CUCCAAUAGAUACAGACACACACACUGUUGCAGACGCGCGUGCACACACACCUAGAAAUAUUUUUAGCUACCCUCCUGUUUCCUACCUUGGGCGCAGGAGGGUGGCUUCCCUGGGAUCCAGUGGGUGUGAGUGGCAGCAGGUGACAGUAGGGCUUGCUGCAGCUGAUGGGAGUUGGCUGCCACUGGUCCAGACGCCUCCUGUCGCCAUCUCUGUGCACCAGAAGGAAGUAAAGGGAACUGUGAUUACUCCCUCCAAGAGCUGAGGCCUGGCAUGCAGCAAGCAGAGUCAUCUUUACCUGGUGCCCUGCCCAUCAGCCAUUCCCCUAUGCGGGUGGAAGUAAUAACAAUUCCGUUCACUUCCUCCCGGUAUACCGUCGCAGAAAGGAGGAGACCACCAAUCCCCAGCGCCAGGUCAAAAAUCCCAUUGUUUUCACAUGGACAGAAUCAGAAUAUGGAGCCACUGUGGAUAUGGGAAUUCUAAAGUAGAGCAGGUCUUGCAGAAUAUGGUUUUGUUUCUAUUAAAGGAACACUAUAGCUCUGGUGCCCCUCUUCCCCCCCCCCCCCAUGUCUCCCAUAAAGAGUGUCAAAAUAAAGCCUUUUCCGCCUCACUUCCCAAAUCAUCCUCAAGAAAGCUUUGCUGCUUCCAUUGCAGGUUCAAUCCAUUACUCCUCAGAGUAUUAGGGACCUGAUGUACCAGCAUGAGCGCAGCACACGCCCAAUUCUCAUAGGAACGCAGUGAGGUUAAUUCCUUCUUAUGAGUUGCAAUGUCACAUGACCAGAUUUGACUUGGUCCGUGCAGUGGAGGCGCCUCUGGCUUUAAUACAUUGUAGUUAAAGGAACACUUUAGUGUUUGGAUUACAAGGAUGUCUUCAAUGUAUUGUUUACAAAGAUGAAUUCAUAACACUGUAGUAUUCCUCUGCCUUCGUGCCCUCCCAGUGUUAAAAACAAAAGACCUUUCUUUCACUUUCCUGACUCCAGCGCCGAUAUCCCUCGGCGUUGGAUCACGUUCUUCCUCCGUUGUUGUCAGCUGAUGGGAGGAACCUAAUGUAAUGAAACUGCAAGAAGCGCCUCCAGUAACUGUCUGAUAGAAAGACACUAAAGACAGUUUCUCUAAAUGUUUUAAAUUACAGGGUUAACCCCUUUGCGCAUUAUGGCGUUCUAUGCCGUCUCCAAUGUAAUGGGCUUUAAAGCUGUAGCGACGGCAUAGAACGUCAUAACCGCUUUCAGCUCUGGAGUGUCUGGGAUAAUUACGCCCAGGCAGGCCCCUGCUAGUCAUGUGAUCGCUCUCACAAAGCAAUCACCUGAUGCUGAAAAAA